CCUUCUCCUUAAGUGUUAGGCACGAAAAGAUUUGAGUUUUUAAGAGGAUUUUUCCAAGGAGAGA
rnacentral:tRNA from 1 species